rnacentral:misc_RNA from 1 species
UAAAUGCGAUAAGUAAUGUGAAUUGCAGAAUUCAGUGAAUCAUCGAAUCUUUGAACGCACAUUGCGCCCGCCAGUAUUCUGGCGGGCAUGCCUGUUCGAGCGUCAUUACAACCCUCAGGCCCCCGGGCCUGGCGUUGGGGAUCGGCGGAAGCCCCCUGCGGGCACAACGCCGUCCCCCAAAUACAGUGGCGGUCCCGCCGCAGCUUCCAUUGCGUAGUAGCUAACACCUCGCAACUGGAGAGCGGCGCGGCCACGCCGUAAAACACCCAACUUCUGAAUGUUGACCUCGAAUCAGGUAGGAAUACCCACUGAACUUAAGC